rnacentral:ribozyme from 2 species
ACUCGGCUGAGCGAGGAUAAAUAGGCAUUAGGCUCAGGGCGUUCCCUCGCUACGAGGGAGGUUGCA